rnacentral:tRNA from 1 species
CCCUGAUGGUUCAAAACGUAAAGAAUCUGCCUGCAAUGCAGGAGAUCUAGGUUCAAUCCCUGGGUCAGGAA